rnacentral:lncRNA from 1 species
UUAAAUCUACUAAUAUUAGAAUAAGUGAUCUACGGAAAUAACAGUAUUCUAAAAAUAUUUGGAAUACACAUUCUGCGCUUUAUCUAUAUUUCUAAAAUAUGUAGAACCAACAAUCUACACGUUAUUCAGAAUCUAAAACCUGUAGAAACAGAAUUCAAACAGCUUAACUGUAUUCUACACAUAGUAGAAUGCAAAUUAUACGGAUAAGUAUGAACAGU